rnacentral:rRNA from 1 species
AACGAACGCUGGCGGCAGGCCUAACACAUGCAAGUCGAACGCCCCGCAAGGGGAGUGGCAGACGAGUGAGUAACGCGUGGGAACCUUCCCAGUGGUAUGGGAUAACUCAGGGAAACCUGAGCUAAUACCGUAUACGCCCGAAAGGGGAAAGAUUUAUCGCCAUUGGAUGGGCCCGCGUCGGAUUAGCUAGUUGGUGAGGUAACGGCUCACCAAGGCGACGAUCCGUAGCUGGUCUGAGAGGAUGAUCAGCCACACUGGGACUGAGACACGGCCCAGACUCCUACGGGAGGCAGCAGUGGGGAAUAUUGGACAAUGGGGGCAACCCUGAUCCAGCCAUGCUGCGUGAGUGAAGAAGGUCUUCGGAUUGUAAAGCUCUUUUGGCGGGGACGAUAAUGACGGUACCCGCAGAAUAAGCCCCGGCUAACUUCGAGCCAGCCGCCGCCGUAACAC